rnacentral:lncRNA from 1 species
UUUAAUGUUUGAGAUUUGGCUAAGAAGGCAUUUGCAGGAAAUCCUUGAAACAGAUGCUAGAUUAUAAUAAAGUUUAUGCAAUACAUGUUGAAUACUCUUUCAAAAUCUUGGCAACAAGAAGUAGGAGACAGAAUAACCUGGAAAUCCUGGCAGGAUUGAGAACAAGAGAUUUUUCGUUUGUUUAAGAAGAGAUGCUUUCUUGAAGAGGGAAAAGAAUAUGUGAAGUUACAGAAAAAGAUUAUGUGGAAAGGAAGAAGGAAGAAAGAGUGUAGUAUGCUCUUAUACAAAUCAUAAAGUGAAAAAGAUGUUUUGCUGGGAAUGCAGCUCCAGGCCUGGGACGUAUAAAUUUGUUUCACCGGCCAUGUUUGAAGUUCAAGUGAUUCCUCUGCUGGAAGGGCAGAAAGAAGAUCUCUCAAGUCCACAUCUGGUUCAGCAGUUCCAUUGAGCCUGGAUGUCCAGUAUAGCAGACAAAACUCAAAACCUGGGAGACUGGACAAAUGAUUUGAGAGCAAAUGCAAGGUAUGUUCAAAGAAUAUG